CAAUCAAUGAGCCCUCGUAUGGACGUCAUCGAAAGUAUGGAGUUCCAGAGGAAAAUAGUUCCUUCCAGGCUGUCUCAGGUUCUUGCCAGCCUGAACCGAAAUCACAACAGGUUUCCGAUUUCACAACAGGUGUAACAGAACGCGCGACCGGCAGAAAACGCGGAUCAUCGUCCGGAGACAAACCAUCGCAAUCAUGGACAAGAUUAUCACCUGUCAUAAGCAUCCGGACUCCGGAUCAAGCCUGAAGCAGUCAUCACAACUUUUUG